CAGGGAGACACAACUGAUCGUGAUGUCUGAGCGCCGAGCAAGCGAAAGCUUGGGAAGCACCUUUGUCUCAGGCCACGGUCCUGUCAUCUCGAAGGUCGAUCGGUACCUCAAGGUGAGCCAUCAAAGCCAAGGAAGAAUCCCGAGAGCUCGAAAGAGCAGGACGGAGGAAGCCGAGGAUGUUGUGAUGGACUCGUUUUCAGUUCCUAAACUUUGUCUAGGUCACCCCACCAAGGGUUUUACCAGGCGUUCAACGUGUCCGAUCCCGUCAGGGAGAGGAGAGGAAGGAUGACUGGAGGAACCACUGUCAGAGUGAUUGUUCCUGGGCCAUUAGCUCAGGUGGUUAGAGCGCAGCCCCUGAUAAGGGUGAGGUCCUGUUCAAGUCCAGGAUGGCCCAUUCGUGUUUGGGGGUUUAGCUCAGUUGGUAGAGCGCCUGCUUUGCAAGCAGGAUGUCAGCGGUUCGAGUCCGUAACCUCCAUCCAACCAGGUUAAGACCACAACAUGAAGCUGCAUCAGGAGGAAUUCUGAUGGGUGAAGUGACCGGACAUGUUCAGCUGAGGACUCCAGCCUCCUUUCAUUCCCAAGGAAUGGAUUCACCGAAUCGUGUGAGCCCAUUUGAGAUGGUUGAAAGGAAGCUGGACUCGCCGAUCACCAAUGGCCAAGAGCAUGGAAGCAUGCGCUUGUGACCUGGUGACUCGGUGCAGCCAGCAAAGAACCUUGACAACUGCAUAGGUGAGUCUGGAAAAGAAAGCAUCUCAUGGAUGCCCAGACGGACGUGGAUGGAUCCCGGUACUGCCGGGUGAAGGCUGCGGCUGACUGGGAGAUUCUUGAGUUUAGAGCCGAGAGCUGCCAGCGUCUUUUCGCUCCGCCGAGGAGGGAAGAGUCAGAUUCUGCAUUUCAAACCGCCCUGGCUUGAGUGUGAAAGAAAGCCGCGAAGGCAACUUCAGCGGAAGACCAAAGCAUGAAAGGUGAGGGUAGGUGAAAGCAGGAGAAUGGGUCUCAACAACCCUGAACGCUGGGAGUGUUAAUU
rnacentral:tRNA from 1 species